GACGAACGCUGGCGGCGUGCCUAAUACAUGCAAGUCGAACGCUUCUUUCCUCCCGAGUGCUUGCACUCAAUUGGAAAGAGGAGUGGCGGACGGGUGAGAAACACGUGUGUAAUUUCCCCAUCAGAGGGGGAUAACACCUGGAAACAGGAGCUAAUACCGCAUAACAGUUUAUGCCGCAUGGCAUAAGAGUGAAAGGCGCUUUCGGGUGUCGCUGAUGGAUGGACCGACGGCGCAUUAGCUAGUUGGCGAGGUAACGGCCCACCAAGGCCACGAUCCGUAGCCGACCUGAGAGGGUGAUCAGCCACACUGGAACUGAGACACGGCCCAGACUCCUACGGGAGGCAGCAGUAGGGAAUCUUCGGCAAUGGGCGAAAGUCUGACCGAGCAACGCCGCGUGAGUGAAGAAGGUUUUCGGAUCGUAAAGCUCUGUUGUUGGGGAAGAACAGGGACGGUAGUAACUGAACGUCCCCUGACGGUAUCUAACCAGAAAGCCACGGCUAACUACGUG
rnacentral:rRNA from 1 species